ensembl:lncRNA
GUGACAGCAAAUAAUUUGGUGGGAGUGUAGCGGCGGAUGUGUAAAGCUGGCCCACAUUCACGUAAUGUAACGUUUGUGCUUUUAUUCUGGUAACUUCCUGUGUGACCGGAAGUGAAUGAUGUAACGGUAAAAAUUGGAUGUACAAAAAAGACGGAAGAAAACGGAAAACUAAUACUAACGGAGAAAAGGGAGAGAAGAUUAUGGUUAAAUUGUACGAAGACAAAUGGUUCUAGCUACAGUCGACAGGGGAACAAGCUCUUACGUUGGUUCGUUGUCUGAUACACGGCAAGGAAUAAUAAAGGUCAUUCAACAACCAUCAGUUCUGGCCUUCUCAGUUCGACUGGAUGCUACACCUUUGGAGGUGGGGUGCCCCCGGCCUCUCGGCCUGGGGCUCGGUCACUCAGGCACAGCUGGGGGCCGGCGGAGCUCACGGGCGCGUCACUGCAACCCCCCCUGACUUCUGCUCCGCGGCUGCUGGGCGAGCCCUCAUCUGGGACUCUCCUCAGCUCCUACUGGAACAGUGGCGCGGCUGCCCCUCUGUUGGUCUUCCAUGGUCUCUUGUGUUCUGGGGGCCUCUGGAUGUCUGGAGUUUUGAUCUCCUCCAUACCCGCUUCACACCCUGGAGGACGGGGCUGUGGCCCCCCCACACUCCCUAGCAGAUCAUUACAUGGAGAAACCUUUGGAAUGCAAGCAUGCUGAUCCACACAGGUGACCCAGGAGUUCUUUUUUUUUUUUUCUCUCUCUCUUCCCCCCCUUCUCACUGUCUCUUCUCCCCUUUGGUUUUCUUUCUUUCUCUCCCCCUCUUUCUCUCAUUCAUUCCCCCUGUGCUAUUUAUUAAAAAAAAAAAAAAAAAUGACAAAGGAUGAACUGAAGCUCUGCCAUCACGUAAUGUCGCAUACUGCUGUUUCUG